CGCCCAUCUGCCUCCCCUUCUAGCCCAGGUGCUUCUGGAAGGGCAGGAUUUUCCUCUACUUCAUCUUUAUGCCUUUAACAGUGUCUUGCAUAAAAGAGAGACACUCAGUGAGUAUUUGUGGAAGGAAGGAGGGAUAGGAGGAGGAGAACUCCCACUUGUCCAGAUCCAUCUGGGGGUUUAAAUCUUAACCUUUUCUUUUAUGAUUGAUGCAUAUCUGAAGAAGAGUCAGAGAAAAAUAGAAAUCUCAAGUCACUGCUGUAGGAUAUACAGGGGCGGAAAAGUUGUGGCACCUUUCUUUGCCCAUCAGAGGAGUCACAGCUGACACUCCUACAAGACAGGUUAACAAGAGGAGAGUGGACACAUUUAUUUAAUCAAAGACUUGUGUGACACAGAAGCCUUCAGAAAUGAAGACCCAAGACCCAGGGAAAGCCGUCUAUUUUUAUGCUUAGGUUUGUCAAAGGACAGACAGCCCUGUAGAAAUGGGAUUGGACAAAGGGGGUUUGAUCUAAGGUAACAGACUGAGGCAGGAGAAUGGCAUGAACCUGGGAGGUGGUGCUUGCAGUGAGCAGAGAUCACGCCACUGCACUCCAGCCUGGGCGACAGAGCGAGACUCUGACUCAAAAAGAAACCUCCACUUACUCUCAGAGGUAUCUUUACUCUCCGAGACCCUUUAAAAUUCUUGACCUUUCUUUUACAUCAGGCAAUUGGCAUCACUAGUGCCAGUUUAUUUUUAGAUAUAAAUGUAUGUCUGUUUGAAAAAUAAACUUUACAUCCAAAAGAGAAUGACUUGGCAAUGAAGUAAAACUGGAUCUAAUGGUAAAGGCUCAGCCCACCCUUCCUAGAUGGAUAAAAUCCAUUUUCUCUAGCCCUGGUUCGAAUGUGUCCCAUCACUUGUGAGUCCAGACUGGCAACAAAAGGUGCUGAUCUAAAAGAAGUUAUCGUCCAGUGGCAGGGUCUGGGGAAGGGGCGGCAGGCGCCAUGUCCAGCCACGAAGGUGGCAAGAAGAAGGCACUGAAACAGCCCAAGAAGCAGGCCAAGGAGAUGGACGAGGAAGAGAAGGCUUUCAAGCAGAAACAAAAAGAGGAGCAGAAGAAACUCGAGGUGCUAAAAGCGAAGGUCGUGGGGAAGGGGCCUCUGGCCACAGGUGGAAUUAAGAAAUCUGGCAAAAAAUAAGCUGUUCCUUGUGCCUAAGGAGACGGUGACCCUUUAUUUCAUCCGUAUUUAAACCUCUCUAUUCCCUCCUAUAAUAUCUUUUGCCACCUAUAGUUGGAAUUAAGUGUCGUCUUG
rnacentral:lncRNA from 1 species